rnacentral:rRNA from 1 species
UACGAAGGGGGCUAGCGUUGCUCGGAAUCACUGGGCGUAAAGGGCGCGUAGGCGGCCAUUCAAGUCGGAGGUGAAAGCCCAGGGCUCAACCCUGGAAUUGCCUUCGAUACUGUUUGGCUAGAGACCGGAAGAGGUAAGUGGAACUGCGAGUGUAGAGGUGAAAUUCGUAGAUAUUCGCAAGAACACCAGUGGCGAAGGCGGCUUACUGGUCCGGUUCUGACGCUGAGGCGCGAAAGCUAGGGGAGCGAACAGG